AACGCUGGCGGCGUGCUUAAUACAUGCAAGUCGAACGAGAAAGCAUUCUUCGGAAUGUUAGUAGAGUGGCGAACGGGUGAGUAACACGUAGGAAAUCUGCCUUUAAGUUCGGGAUAACGUUGGGAAACUGACGCUAAUACCGGAUAAUUCUGAAUAUCGCAUGAUAUUUAGAUAAAAGAAAGCCUCUGCAUGCAAGCUUUGCUUAGAGAUGAUCCUGCGGACCAUUAGUUAGUUGGUGAGGUAAGGGCUCACCAAGACGAUGAUGGAUAGCCAGCCUGAGAGGGCGGAUGGCCACAUUGGGACUGAGACACGGCCCAAACUCCUACGGGAGGCUGCAGUAGGGAAUAUUGUGCAAUGGGGGAAACCCUGACACAGCGACGCCGCGUGAACGAUGAAGGUCGUAAGAUCGUAAAGUUCUGUCAAGAGGGAAGAAAGGUUAUAAAGUUAAUAGCUAUGUAACUAUGACGGUACCUCUGGAGGAAGCACCGGCUAAAUACGUGCCAGCAGCCGCGGUAAUACGUAUGGUGCAAGCGUUGUCCGGAAUCAUUGGGCGUAAAGGGCACGUAGGCGGUUUAUUAAGUCAGAGGUGAAAUCACCAUGCUCAACGUGGUGGCUGCCUUUGAAACUGAUAGACUAGAGUUCGGGAGGGGAAAGCGGAAUUCCUGGUGUAGUGGUGAAAUGCGUAGAUAUCAGGAAGAACACCAAUGGCGAAGGCAGCUUUCUAGACCGACACUGACGCUAAUGUGCGAAAGCGUGGGAGCGAACGGGAUUAGAUACCCCGGUAGUCCACGCUGUAAACGUUGGGUAUUAGGCGUAGGAGGUAUCGACCCCUUCUGUGCCGCAGUUAACGCAUUAAAUACCUCGCCUGGGGACUACGGCCGCAAGGCUAAAACUCAAAGGAAUUGACGGGGGCCCGCACAAGCGGUGGAGCAUGUGGUUUAAUUCGAUGCAACGCGAAGAACCUUACCUAGGUUUGACAUCCUCUGACAGACUAUGAAAGUAGUUUUUUCUUCGGAACAGAGAGACAGGUGCUGUAUGGCUGUCGUCAGCUCGUGUCGUGAGAUGUUGGGUUAAGUCCCGCAACGAGCGCAACCCUUGUUGUUAGUUACCAGCACGUAAUGGUGGGCACUCUAGCAAGACUGCCGGUGAUAAACCGGAGGAAGGUGGGGAUGACGUCAAGUCCUCAUGGCCUUUAUACCUAGGGCUACACACGUGCUACAAUGGGGAGUACAGAGGGAAGCAAAGUCGCAAGGCCAAGCAAAUCUCAAAAAACUCUUCUCAGUUCGGAUUGUGGGCUGAAAUUCGCCCACAUGAAGUUGGAAUCGCUAGUAAUCGCGAGUCAGCAUAUCGCGGUGAAUACGUUCUCGGGCCUUGUACACACCGCCCGUCACACCAUGGAAGUUUGUCAUGCCCGAAGUUGGUGACCUAACCUUUUUUAAGGGAGGAACUACCUAAGGCAGGGCCGAUGACUGGGGUG
rnacentral:rRNA from 1 species